ACAAAGAAAAAUAAUAAUAAUUGCAGAAAUAAAAAAUAAUAAGAAAUUUCUUUCAUUUCAUUUCUUCACAACCAUCAGCGUAUACAAAUAUUCCUUUCGUUUAUUCCGCUUCGAAAUUAGCGGUAAUUUCCUAAAAAUCAUUAUUAUCAGAUUGUUUUUCUUUGCUGUUAUUUUUUGUUUGGAAAUUCUCAAUCCAAAAAAAUGGGGAAGCCAACGGGGAAGAAGAAGAUUCAAGAAGCAGCCAAGAAAGCCAUGGAAGCCAACAAGCAAAACAAAGGUGCCGCGGCCGCUGCCGAUCGAACGUCGAAAGCUUUCGAUGAAGACACGGUGAUCUUCAUCAACAUGUCUCAAGAGCUCAAAGAAGAAGGUAACCGACUCUUCCAGAAACGCGACCAUGAAGGCGCGAUGUUAAAGUACGAAAAAGCCCUUAACCUCCUCCCUAGAAACCAUAUCGAUGUCGCUUAUUUACGAAGCAACAUGGCUGCAUGUUAUAUGCAAUUGGGUCUCGGCGAGUACCCACGCGCCAUUAAUGAAUGCAAUCUGGCUUUAGAGGUUUCUCCUAAAUAUAGCAAGGCUUUGUUGAAAAGAGCUAGGUGUUAUGAAGCUUUGAAUAGAUUGGAUUUGGCUUAUAGGGAUGCUUAUAAUGUUUUAACUAUUGAACCCAAUAAUUUGUCCGCUUUGGAGGUUUUAGAGAGUAUUAAAAAGGCUAUGGAUGAAAAGGGUGUUACUGUUAAUGAAAAUGAACUUGGUUUGUUUGAUAAUGAGCCUUCUGGGGCUAUGCGGUUGCGAAAAGUGGUGAAAGAGAAGUUAAGGAAGAAGAAAAACAAAGGAAAAAAUGUUGAGACAAAUGAAAAGAGUGAUGAUAAGAUUACGGCAGAGAAGAAGGCAGAGGAUAAAGUAGUUGUGGAGGAGAAGAAGGUUAGUGUUGUCAGGGUCAAGGAUAAAGAGGUUGUUAUGAAGACUAUUGAGGAGGAGAAGAAGGCUGUUGAGGAAGAAAAGGUUAUUACAAAGACUGUGAAGUUGGUGCUUGGAGAGGAUAUUAGGUGGGCACAAUUACCUGUGAAUUGCACUAUUAAUUUGGUGAGGGAUGUUGUUCGGGAUAGGUUUCCGGGAUUGAAGGGUAUUCUUGUGAAAUACAGGGAUCUAGAGGGUGAUUUGGUUACCAUCACUACAACAGAUGAACUUAGGUUAGCUGAAUCAUCUGGUGGUAUUUCAGGAGGAUCGCUUAGGUUCUAUAUUGUUGAAGUUAGUCCCAAACAGGAACCAGCUUAUGAAGGAGUAAGUAAAGAGGACGCGGUCAAGAGUGAAGAGAAAUUGACUAAUGUUGUUGAGAAUGGUAAUACAGAUCAUGGUGUAGAAGCUAUAAAGGGAACAUGUGUGGAGGAUUGGAUUGUCCAGUUUGCACGACUUUUCAAGAACCAUGUCGGGUUUGAUUCUGAUUCUUACUUGGAUCUUCAUGAACUUGGUAUGAAAUUAUACUCAGAAGCAAUGGAUGAUACUGUGACAAGUGAAGAUGCACAGGAGCUUUUUGAAAUCGCUGCAGACAAGUUCCAAGAGAUGGCAGCUCUGGCAAUGUUCAAUUGGGGAAAUGUUCACAUGUCCAGGGCAAGGAAGCAUGUCUUCUUUACAGAAGAUGGUUCAAGGGAAUCUAUACUAGCACAGAUUAAGAGUGCAUAUGAGUGGGCACAGGAAGAAUAUGUAUUGGCAGCAAAGAGGUACGAGGAAGCAUUGAAAAUUAAACCAGAUUUUCAUGAAGGUCUUCUUGCAUUGGGGCAACAACAGUUUGAGCUAGCAAAACUCUGUUGGUACCAUGCAAUUGGUAGCAAGAUUGAUUUAGAGAGUGGGCCUUCCCAGGAGGUCCUGCAGCUUUAUAACAAGGCAGAGGACAGCAUGGAGAGGGGCAUGCAGAUGUGGGAGGAAAUGGAGGAGCAGCGACUGAAUGGACUCUCCAAAUUUGAUAAAUAUAAGGCCCAAUUGCAGAAAAUGGGGCUAGAUAUGUUGUUUAAAGAUGUCUCUACUGAAGAAGCUGCUGAGCAGGCUGCAAACAUGAGUUCACAGAUAUACCUGUUAUGGGGCACCUUGCUUUAUGAGCGUUCUGUUGUGGAAUACAAGCUUGGGUUGCCAUCGUGGGAAGAAUGUUUGGAGGUUGCUGUUGAGAAAUUUGAACUUGCUGGAGCUUCUCCAACAGAUAUAGCUGUUAUGAUAAAGAACCACUGUUCCAACGAGACUGCUUUGGAAGGUUUAGGAUUCAAAAUUGAUGAGAUUGUACAGGCAUGGAAUGAGAUGUAUGACGUGAAAAGGUGGCAGAUUGGUGUUCCAUCAUUCCGGCUAGAACCAUUGUUCCGUCGCCGGGCUCCAAAGCUUCAUUCAGUCUUGGAGCAACUUUAAGUUUUCUGUUGAUUGGGUAUUCUUUUGGGGCAUUAGGCAAGUGCUUCAGUUUUGUUUAAUUCAUUUUCCAAGAUCAGUGUUUGUGUGCUGCUAAGAUAGGUCUUUUGUUUUUUGUUCAUGGACUGUUGUAUCCGGCUUGGUUGUUUGCUUUGGCAGCAAAGAACAAAAGUUCGUGAGGUGUUGGUUUGAUAUUGCAAGUGCAGUUUGUAAUUGGGCAUGAAACCCAGUUCAGUCAUUCAUUUUGUCAUUUUUUUGGGGAUUUCAUUUUCACACACCAAUUUGUCCUUUGAGAUAGUGGUAUAUGACUUGAUUGGUUCAUUUUCAAGGAUAAUAAUUUUUGGUUGUAAGACCAUCUUGUUUGUUAUUCAUAUAGGUCAUCAUCAUUUGUUGUAAAUUUCUAUUUUUGCUCAGCCUCAGGUCAGUUGAAGCUUUUAACAUAUUUGUAUUCACAUUAAUAUUAUGAUGAUACCUUGUUUUCAUA